UCAGCUUUCGAUUCAAGUGGAGGACAAGGAGACCUAUAAAUCGAUGCUGGACUAUGGAUCACCGGAGAAUUAUGAACAGUGGCAGCAAUGGACCAUGCUGGUCACAGGAUACAGAGUUAAUAAAGUUUUUGAAAAGCUACCAGAAGAAGAUGGCAGGACAGAUGCGGCUGCUAAUGGCAACAUGACAACAUGCCAGGCAGGCUAUGAGCAGUGGAGACAAUGGAGAUGUCAAUUGAGGUUAACAGAACCUCUAUACCAUGAGCAACACAUUCAGAAUUUAUUCUAUGUGGCCCAGGACUAACACACAAGG